rnacentral:SRP_RNA from 1 species
CAACCCGGUCAGGUCCGGAAGGAAGCAGCCGUAACGAGUUUUGGUCUGGGUCGGUUCCAGCCUCCCACCU